rnacentral:rRNA from 1 species
UACGGUAGGGUGCAAGCGUUGUCCGGAAUUAUUGGGCGUAAAGGGCUCGUAGGCGGUCUGUCGCGUCGGGAGUGAAAACUCGAGGGCUUAACCCUGAGCCUGCUUCCGAUACGGGCAGGCUAGAGUGCGGUAGGGGAGAAUGGAACUCCUGGUGUAGCGGUGGAAUGCGCAGAUAUCAGGAAGAACACCGAUGGCGAAGGCAGUUCUCUGGGCCGUAACUGACGCUGAGGAGCGAAAGACGUGGGGAGCGAACAGG